rnacentral:lncRNA from 1 species
CAGUGGUCGACGUUCUCGCCGUCAAAUGUUCUCGGGCUGCACCUCCUGAACUCACUGAGGCGCUCCAUAAGCCGAUCCCGCUCGGCUCCCUCGGCCCCGUCGCUGGUCUCUGAACAGGUAGUGCCGCAACCACCUCCUCCCGAGGUGCGGUCGCCGGUGCCGCACGUGAAGAACUGGGCGCGGGGGACUGCGCCCUCGGUGCGACGUCCACCACGGGUGCUGGCGGUGUGGGACCCUGGGUCUCCCUCGAAGCUGCCGCCUGCUGAAGUAGGAGAUCCUCAAGAUGCUUCAUCCGCGCCUCCUGCCGCUGAGCCACCUCGGCCUGUCGCUGCGCCGCUGCCGUCUGCUGCGCAACAAAUCAGUGAGGACCGUAAGCUGGGCCCUCAUGUCACGGACCUCACUAGAUCCGGAAGUAGCAGAGGUCUCGACCUCCUGAGGGUGUGCCGCAUCAUCCGCCCCGGCAGACUGGGAGCGAGUAAUCGGCAUCGUCACUACAAAACAUAAAAGCGCAAGUUAAUAACCCACGCUAUCGCAUCCCCGCUCAAAACGAUAAAACCCAAAUCAUGCGAAAGUAAGG